rnacentral:rRNA from 1 species
GACGUAGGGCGCGAGCGUUGUCCGGAAUUACUGGGCGUAAAGAGCUCGUAGGUGGUUUGUCGCGUUGUCCGUGAAAACUCACAACUCAAUUGUGGGCGUGCGGGCGAUACGGGCAGACUGGAGUACUGCAGGGGAGACUGGAAUUCCUGGUGUAGCGGUGGAAUGCGCAGAUAUCAGGAGGAGCACCGGUGGCGAAGGCGGUGGUCUGGGCCGACACUGACGCUGAGGCGCGAAAGCCAGGGGAGCGAACGGG